rnacentral:rRNA from 1 species
UACGUAGGUCCCGAGCGUUGUCCGGAUUUAUUGGGCGUAAAGCGAGCGCAGGUUGUUUAAUAAGUCUGAUGUAAAAGGCAGUGGCUCAACAAUUGUGUGCAUUGGAAACUGUUAGACUUGAGUGCAGUAGAGGAGAGUGGAAUUCCAUGUGUAGCGGUGAAAUGCGUAGAUAUAUGGAGGAACACCGGUGGCGAAAGCGGCUCUCUGGACUGUAACUGACACUGAGGCUCGAAAGCGUGGGUAGCAAACAGG